GAAAGGGGACGAUUUAGCCAUGCUAGUCGCACGAGUUCAGACUCGUGGCGAAUAGCUCAGUAACACGUGGCCAAACUACCCUUCGGAACACAAUACCCUCGGGAAACUGAGGCUAAUAGUGUAUACCAUACCACCACUGGAAUGAGUGGUAUGCCAAACGCUCCGGCGCCGAAGGAUGUGGCUGCGGCCGAUUAGGUAGACGGUGGGGUAACGGCCCACCGUGCCAAUAAUCGGUAUGGGUCAUGAGAGUGAGAACCCAGAGACGGAAUCUGAGACAAGAUUCCGGGCCCUACGGGGCGCAGCAGGCGCGAAACCUUUACACUGCACGACAGUGCGAUAGGGGGAUCCCAAGUGCACAGGCAUAGCGCCUGUGCUUUUCGGUACCCUAAGGCGGUACCAGAAUAAGGGCUGGGCAAGACCGGUGCCAGCCGCCGCGGUAAUACCGGCAGCCCAAGUGAUGGCCGAUCUUAUUGGGCCUAAAGCGUCCGUAGCUGGCCGCGCAAGUCCAUCGGGAAAUCCACCUGCUCAACAGGUGGGCGCCCGGUAGAAACUGCGUGGCUUGGGACCGGAAGGCGCGACGGGUACGUCCGGGGUAGGAGUGAAAUCCUGUAAUCCUGGACGGACCGCCGAUGGCGAAAGCACGUCGCGAGAACGGAUCCGACAGUGAGGGACGAAAGCCAGGGUCUCGAACCGGAUUAGA
rnacentral:rRNA from 1 species